GGGAACCGUAACCGCCGUGUGUCCCUGUGAAUAGAGAAUUGUAUCCACCUCGUUACAGCUAAACGAAAAGGACUAUAGAGGGCGAGCACUGUAUGAUAAUUUAUUCAAUCUCCGGUUGGGGCACGUUAAACAAACCGAUGUAGGGGGAAAUAGCCGUAGGUCGCCCACCCCACCCCCACACAAAUAGAUAACGUUUAACGUAGUCUACAAUCGUGACUGUAUUUGCAUUUUCGGUUGGUAGCAAACAAGAGCUUCCUGUAAACAAACGAAUUUACCGCCGCGGCCGGUGGUGGCUGGUACGCUCCAGGAAUCUGAGGUGCGGCAGGUUCCUCCGCUCCCUCUGGAAAUCGAGGGGGCCCCGGUGUACUCCAUUAGUUCCAUCCUGGAUUCGAGGCGUCAGGCAAGGGACCUUCAGUACCUCAUGGAGUGGGAUGGGUACGGUCCGGAGGAGAGGUGCUGGGUCCCGGAUGUGAAUGUGUUGGACCCCGAACUGCUGCGGGAGUUUCACCGUCGCCGGCCGGAUCGCCCUGCGCCUCGCCCUCUGGGUCGUCCCCGAGGCCGGUGUCGGCGCGCCACUGGAGCCGCGCGUCAAGGGGGGGGUACUGUCACGACUUCCGCCGAAGUCGGCUCCUGUCCUUGUUCGGGCGGCGUUUGGCGAUCGACGUCACCGGCUUUCUAGCCAUCGCCGCUCCAUUUUUCAUAUUUCCAUUUGUUUUGUCUUGUUCCAUACACACCUGGUUUUCAUUCCCUAAUCACACUGCAUGUAUUUAGUCCUCUGUUCCCCUCCAUGUCUUUGUGUGAAAUUGUUUUAUGUUAUGUGGGUAUUUGUCACGUGCCAGACUUUUGUUCAUUUUCCGUGUUUUGGGCACGUUUAUGUACUUAUGUGCUUUCGUUUUGGACCGGAAUAAAAAGUGUGUCUGUUACUACA